rnacentral:rRNA from 1 species
CAGCCGUAAACUAUGCUCGCUAGGUGUCAGGCAUGGCGCGACCGUGUCUGGUGCCGCAGGGAAGCCGUGAAGCGAGCCACCUGGGAAGUACGGCCGCAAGGCUGAAACUUAAAGGAAUUGGCGGGGGAGCACAACAACGGGUGGAGCCUGCGGUUUAAUUGGACUCAACGCCGGACAACUCACCGGGGACGACAGCAAUAUGUAGGCCAGGCUGAAGACCUUGCCUGAAUCGCUGAGAGGAGGUGCAUGGCGUGUGACUG